rnacentral:rRNA from 1 species
CAGCAGCCGCGGUAAUACGUAGGUGGCAAGCGUUGUCCGGAAUUAUUGGGCGUAAAGGGCUCGCAGGCGGUUUCUUAAGUCUGAUGUGAAAGCCCCCGGCUCAACCGGGGAGGGUCAUUGGAAACUGGGAAACUUGAGUGCAGAAGAGGAGAGUGGAACUCCACGUGUAGCGGUGAAAUGCGUAGAGAUGUGGAGGAACACCAGUGGCGAAGGCGACUCUCUGGUCUGUAACUGACGCUGAGGAGCGAAAGCGUGGGGAGCGAACAGGAUUAGAUACCCCAGUAGUCCCUGUCUCUUAUAC